AGUAAGGAAUAUUGGUCAAUGGAGGGAACUCUGAACCAGCCAUGCCGCGUGCAGGAAGACUGCCCUAUGGGUUGUAAACUGCUUUUAUCCGGGAAUAAACCUACUUACGUGUAAGUAGCUGAAUGUACCGGAAGAAUAAGGAUCGGCUAACUCCGUGCCAGCAGCCGCGGUAAUACGGAGGAUCCAAGCGUUAUCCGGAUUUAUUGGGUUUAAAGGGUGCGUAGGCGGCCUGUUAAGUCAGGGGUGAAAGACGGUAGCUCAACUAUCGCAGUGCCCUUGAUACUGAUGGGCUUGAAUGGACUAGAGGUAGGCGGAAUGAGACAAGUAGCGGUGAAAUGCAUAGAUAUGUCUCAGAACACCGAUUGCGAAGGCAGCUUACUAUGGUCUUAUUGACGCUGAGGCACGAAAGCGUGGGGAUCAAA
rnacentral:rRNA from 1 species